CAGUAGCCGCGGGAACACGAAGGGGGCUAGCGUUGUUCGGAAUUACUGGGCGUAAAGCGUGCGUAGGUGGUGGUUUAAGUCCGUUGUGAAAUCCCCGGGCUCAACCUGGGAAUGGCAGUGGAUACUGGCUCGCUAGAGUGUGUCAGAGGAUGGUGGAAUUCCCGGUGUAGCGGUGAAAUGCGUAGAGAUCGGGAGGAACAUCAGUGGCGAAGGCGGCCAUCUGGGACAACACUGACGCUGAGGCACGAAAGCGUGGGGAGCAAACAGGAUUAGAUACCCCAGUAGUCCCUGUCUCUUAUAC
rnacentral:rRNA from 1 species